CUUUCUUAAGUCCCCCCGCCUCGCAAGAUGGCUGCGGUGCCGCCGGGCCCGGAGCCGUGGAACCGUGUGAGAAUCCCUAAGGCGGGGAACCGCAGCGCAGUGACAGUGCAGAACCCCGGCGCGGCCCUUGACCUUUGCAUUGCAGCUGUAAUUAAAGAAUGCCAUCUCGUCAUACUGUCGCUGAAGAGCCAAACCUUAGAUGCAGAAACAGAUGUGUUAUGUGCAGUCCUUUACAGCAAUCACAACAGAAUGGGCCGCCACAAACCCCAUUUGGCCCUCAAACAGGUUGAGCAAUGUUUAAAGCGUUUGAAAAACAUGAAUUUGGAGGGCUCAAUUCAAGACCUGUUUGAGUUGUUUUCUUCCAAUGAAAAUCAGCCCUUAACUACCAAAGUAUGUGUUGUCCCCAGUCAGCCAGUGGUGGAGUUGGUGUUGAUGAAGGUUGAUUUUGUUAUAUGAGUCUUUGUUUGGAUUGCUUCAAGAGGUCGCUAGGAUUCAACCAAUGCCUUACUUCAAAGAUUUUACCUUUCCUUCUGAUAUCACUGAAUUUUUAGGACAG
rnacentral:sRNA from 1 species